rnacentral:lncRNA from 1 species
GGGUGGUUUAGAUGUCAUAUUGGGAAUGUAGUGGUUAUAGAAAUUAGAGGAGAUGCAGUUGGAGUGAAAUACACUGACCAUGACAUUUAUUACAUUAGGAACUACGGUUACUCUUCAGGGGGACUCGAGCCUCUGUAAAACCCAGUGUCCUUGAAAUCCAUGAUGAAAGCAUUUAAAGAGCAUGGAGAAUGACUUUUACCGGAAUUAGGGAGCAUCACAGUUGAUUUCAGUAAAGGACCAUCGGACCCGGCAAGGAUUAUCACUGAGGUUUUGAAGGAAUUUCCGACCGUAUUUGAGAACAUUACUGAGUUGCCACCGUGACGAGACCAGGAUCAUGUAAUCAUCUUAUAGCCA